GGUCCCGUGUUGUAGCGGUUAGCAUUCAGGACUCUGAAUCCUGCGACGGGAGUUCAAAUCUCCCCAGGAGCU
rnacentral:tRNA from 1 species